ACAACAACAUGUAUCAGAGUUGACAUCAACUGUCUCCACAUGAUGUAUUCCCAAAUACUCUGCCAACAACUGUAACCAAUCCAAAACAACUCUCAACGAACUAUAA